UACGUAGGGGGCUAGCGUUGUCCGGAAUCAUUGGGCGUAAAGCGCGUGUAGGCGGUCCGGUAAGUCCGCUGUGAAAGUCGGGGGCUCAACCCUCGGAUGGCGGUGGAUACUGUCGGGCUUGAGUACGGAAGAGGCGAGUGGAAUUCCUGGUGUAGCGGUGAAAUGCGCAGAUAUCAGGAGGAACACCGGCGGCGAAGGCGGGUAGCUGGGCCGAAACUGACGCUGAGGAGCGAAAGCAUGGGGAGCGAACAGG
rnacentral:rRNA from 1 species